rnacentral:rRNA from 1 species
GACAGAGGUGCCAAGCGUUUAGGCGGAAUCACUGGGCUUAAAGCGUGUGUAGGCGGACUUGUAAGUACCUUGUGAAAUCCCACGGCUCAACCGUGGAACUGCUUGGUAUACUGCUUGUCUUGAGCCACUUAGGGGCUACCGGAACAAAUGGUGGAGCGGUGAAAUGCGUAGAUAUCUGGAGGAACACCGGUGGCGAAGGCGGCAUCCUGGACCGGCAUUGACGCUGAGGCGCGAAAGCCAGGGGAGCAAACGGG